rnacentral:tRNA from 1 species
GCGUCGGUAGCUCAGUUGGUAGAGCACUUGCCCCCGGAAGGCAAAGGUCCCGAGUUCGAGACUCGGUCGGGCACA